UGCAUGUCUAAGCACAAGCCGAAAAUGGUGAAGCCGCGAAUGGCUCAUUACAACAGCCUUGGUUUAUUUGAUUUUGAAAUCCUACUUGGAUAACUGUGGUAAUUCUAGAGCUAAUACACGCACAAAAGCUCCAGCCUUGCGGCCGGAGCGCAUUUAUUAGUACAAAACCAAUCGGGCCUUGUGCCCGUUGUUUGGUGAAUCUGAAUAACUGAGCCGAUCGCACGGUCUCUGCACCGGCGACGUAUCAUUCAAGUGUCUGCCCUAUCAACUUUCGAUGGUAGUUUAUGUGACUACCAUGGUUGCAACGGGUAACGGAGAAUAAGGGUUCGACUCCGGAGAAGCAGCCUGAGAAACGGCUACUA
rnacentral:rRNA from 1 species